UACGGAGGGUGCAAGCGUUAUCCGGAUUCACUGGGUUUAAAGGGUGCGUAGGUGGGCUAGUAAGUCCGUGGUGAAAUCUCCAAGCUUAACUUGGAAACUGCCGUGGAUACUAUUAGUCUUGAAUAUUGUGGAGGUAAGCGGAAUAUGUCAUGUAGCGGUGAAAUGCUUAGAUAUGCCAUAGAACACCGAUUGCGAAGGCAGCCUACUAAGCAAUUAUUGACGCUGAGGCACGAAAGCGUGGGGAUCAAACAGG
rnacentral:rRNA from 1 species